GCCGCCAUAGCGUAAUCGGCAACGCAACUGAUUUGUAAUCAGUGGACUACGGGUUCGAGUCCUGUUGGCGGCU
rnacentral:tRNA from 1 species